rnacentral:lncRNA from 1 species
AUCAAUGACGCCAAGUGGCAAGGAACAUCACCAUCUUUGGAGACCUAGUGGUGGAGUUAAACUACUACAGGGAAACAACUUUACGUAUAGAGGAGUUGAGCUUCCUAGAGGAAAAGAAGGAAAAUCAUUCCUAAUGGAAGAUCAACUAUUCAAGAAAGAAAGAAGAGCAAUGAGAAAGAUGGAGUCUCACUCUGUUUCUCAGGCUGGAGGGCAGUGGCACGAUCUCAGCUCACUGCAACCUCUGCUUCUUGGGUUCAAGCGAGUCUCCUGCCUCAGCCUCCUGAGUAGCUGGGAUUACAGGCACCUGUCACCACGCUCGGCUAAUUCUUGCAUUUUUAGUAGAGAUGUGGUUUCACCAUGUUGGCCAGGCUGGUCUCGAACUCCUGACCUCAGGUAAACUGCCUGCCGCCUCAGCCUCCCAAAGUGUUGGGAUUACAGGCAUGAGUCAUCGUGCGCAGCCAUGAGAUCUGAUGGUUUUAUAAGGGGCUUCCCCCUUUGCUGGGCACUCAUUCUUCUCCUUCUUGUUGCCAUGUGAGAAAGGAAAUGUUUGCUUCCCUUUCUGCCAUGAUUGUAAGUUUCUGGAGGCCUCCCCAGUCCUGUGGAA